UGGCAGAUCCAAGCUCUGAGAACUGAAUUCCAUGGACUGGUCCUACUAAAGCAUUUUCCGUCCAUAGUGGUCAGUUCUCCAGCUUGACUGCUGCUA